GAGCAUUCGCCGUGGACGAAACCAAAUUUGCACUCCCCUGCACCUCCACCUUUGCGGAGGAGAUGUCCGCUUGCAAUUUCCUUGCCGCUACCCUGCCAAGGACGACACCCCAUCCCCUGCCCUGCCGAGAACGCCGCCGCAACAUUACCAUUGCCACCUCUGCGUACCGGCCUGCCAACCGGCCCCUGUACCGCCGACCAUCAGAGGCACUCAUCUCACGACGCUCGAGCACCUGCAGCCUCGUCCCCCACGCUGCCGAGCGCUAGGCCACCGCCCGACGACGCCCCUGCCCCUCGGACUUUCAGAUCGCCGACGCUCAAGCGACCAAACUCGACGAGUUGAGAGGUUAAAGAUAAGAGCGGCGGGACCACAACGUUAAAAAGAUGGAGUGGGCUUCUGGCCUUUUUCAGAGCGCAAGCAGAAGCAGUCACGGACUGCAGCAAGCAGAAGCCCUCUCUUCCUCUCUUGGAGUCACGCUCCCGCUUUCCAACACCCUACACCAGCGGCCGCUCAGCCCCGGAGCUCGCAUCCUUCUGCCCGUGUGUCGAUGUGUGGUCCUUCGAGAAAUCUGCUCCCAAUCUCUCCCGUAAUUGGUUGGUGAUGGUGGUCUCUGGGUGCUUGUUGAAUUGACUGUGAGUAAAAAGUUGUCGAGAUUGGAGCGUGAUUUGGAGUGAUGUCCAGAUUGUAGUCAUUCUCAGGAAUACUGAAUUUGGGAUUGCAGACUACCUCUAUAGCGAUGUACUCUCUUCUCAACUACUUCUGUUGCAGCUUCUCAACUACUUCGGCAUGAUUAACAAACCAGAAUUGCACCAGUAGAUCGACAUUGUUGUUCAUUCCGAUUUGUUUCAAUUGGCAGUACUAAAGUUAUUCGUUUCAAAGACAGGGAGUUUUCUGCCCCUAACCCUCCUGAACCUGAGAAAUAGAGGGAGUUUGUACUGAAGAUUAAAAAAGGUUCUCAAUGUGAUCCAUUGGUCUUUUGAUCAUUCUAUUGUAAGUAAUAAGCGCACAUAUUUAUACUUUUACCUGCUUUCUUCAGUCUAAUCAGAACCAGAAAUGACGUGUUUCAAAUGCUAGAGGUACAAUAUUAGACCUAUGGAAUGUUGAAGUCUUUUCCUCGCUUGUCUUGUUUAUAUGCAAACUGGCAAGUCCUUGAUAAUAUCCAGUUAAUGAAUUCUUCAAUUUUUAUAUGUGCAGACCACUCUUCAAAAUUAUAGAUCUCUCAAGCUCAUGCAGGUGCAUAUUGUUCGACACUAUGAUAUAAGCAUCUUUCAAGUUCUUGAUAUAUGAUCAAUCCUAGGAAAAGCUGAACGAGAUCAGUGAUAGGCUUAGCUCUUUUAAUCCUGAUGCCUUUUCACUGAUUAUUCCUGCUAACUGAAUGUGUGUGUGUGACCUUCAAAUGAAUGUAAGUAUGCCUCAUCAUUUGGUAAUCACAGCUUCAUAUAUGUAGGAUACCUCUGUUUUAAGUUUCUUUUGUCAGGGUGCUGCAUGGUUGUGCACAAUCUUAUUUAGGCCAUGACAGACUCAAAAAUUGAGUUACUACAUUUUUGUUUAGUGCAUUCACCAGGUAGACGAAAACCACUACUUUGCUCAUAUGCUGGGACCUGUAUGUGGCCGGGCGUUGAAUACUUGAAUCAGCUAAUCCCUCCCUGUUGUUUAGUUCAAGUGUUUUUCUCCAUUUUCAGUCAUCUGCACUUUUCCCAUUCCUGUUUAUGGAGACUUGAGACAGCUCUGCAAAUUAACCUUCCCAAACAACUUUAAUAUUCUCUACUAAUACUAAGUUUACGGUGAUUAAACUUUAUAGUAGUAUAGUAGAGAUUUUUAGAAUUCUCCAUCGCUUUGAAUUUCAUAUUGCAUUGACCAUCGACUCAGUUCAUUUCUUUUUUUCACAGUAUCUCUUGUAGAUUUACUUCUACCUCAUAGCUUUCAGAGGUGCUUAAUACAUGAUUGUUUAGAUUCAGGAUUCGCCGCCUCAUUGUCUAUUUAAUAAGGUGAACAAUAUAUUCAUGUGAGAUUUUAGGCAAUCUUGUUAUACAUAAUAUUUUCUGAAAUUUAAGUCAAUUGGUGACUAGCUGCAUCAGCAA